UAGGGAAUCUUCGGCAAUGGGGGGAACCCUGACCGAGCAACGCCGCGUGAGUGAAGAAGGUUUUCGGAUCGUAAAGCUCUGUUGUUAAGGAAGAACGAGUGUGAGAAUGGAAAGUUCAUACUGUGACGGUACUUAACCAGAAAGGGACGGCUAACUACGUGCCAGCAGCCGCGGUAAUACGUAGGUCCCGAGCGUUGUCCGGAUUUAUUGGGCGUAAAGCGAGCGCAGGCGGUUAGAUAAGUCUGAAGUUAAAGGCAGUGGCUCAACCAUUGUAGGCUUUGGAAACUGGUUAACUUGAGUGCAGAAGGGGAGAGUGGAAUUCCAUGUGUAGCGGUGAAAUGCGCAGAUAUUAGGAGGAAUACCGGUGGCGAAGGCGACUUUCUGGCCAUAAUCUGACGCUGAGGUACGAAAGCGUGGGUAGCAAACAGG
rnacentral:rRNA from 1 species